GUGCCCAGUAGUGGGGGAUAGCCCGGCGAAAGCCGGAUUAAUACCGCAUACGACCUGAGGGUGAAAGGGGGGGAUCGCAAGACNNNUCGCUAUUGGAGCGGCCGAUGUCAGAUUAGGUAGUUGGUGGGGUAAAGGCCUACCNAGCCGACGAUCUGUAGCUGGUCUGAGAGGACGACCAGCCACACUGGGACUGAGACACGGCNNAGACUCCUACGGGAGGCAGCAGUGGGGAAUUUUGGACAAUGGGCNCAAGCCUGAUCCAGNNAUGCCGCGUGCGGGAAGAAGGCCUUCGGGUUGUAAANNNCUUUUGUCAGGGAAGAAAUCUUCUGGGCUANUACCUCGGGAGGAUGACGGUACCUGAAGAAUAAGCACCGGCUAACUACGUGCCAGCAGCCGCGGUAAUACGUAGGGUGCAAGCGUUAAUCGGAAUUACUGNNCGUAAAGCGUGCGCAGGCGGUUUUGUAAGACAGAGGUGAAAUCCCCGGGCUCAACCUGGGAACUGCCUUUGUGACUGCAAGGCUUGAGUGCGGCAGAGGGGGAUGGAAUUCCGCGUGUAGCAGUGAAAUGCGUAGAUAUGCGGNNGAACACCGAUGGCGAAGGCAAUCCCCUGGGCCUGCACUGACGCUCAUGCACGAAAGCGUGGGGAGCAAACAGGAUUAGAUACCCUGGUAGUCNACGCCCUAAACGAUGUCAACUGGUNGUUGNNAAGGUUCCUUCUCAGUAACGUAGCUAACGCGUG
rnacentral:rRNA from 1 species